rnacentral:rRNA from 1 species
CUACGGGACGCACCAGUCGGGAAUAUUGCGCAAUGGAGGAAACUCUGACGCAGUGACGCCGCGUAUAGGAAGAAGGUUUUCGGAUUGUAAACUAUUGUCGUUAGGGAAGAUAAAAGACAGUACCUAAGGAGGAAGCUCCGGCUAACUACGUGCCAGCAGCCGCGGUAAUACGUAGGGAGCAAGCGUUAUCCGGAUUUAUUGGGUGUAAAGGGUGCGUAGACGGGAAGACAAGUUAGUUGUGAAAUCCCUCGGCUUAACUGAGGAACUGCAACUAAAACUAUUUUUCUUGAGUGUUGGAGAGGAGAGUGGAAUUCCUAGUGUAGCGGUGAAAUGCGUAGAUAUUAGGAGGAACACCGGUGGCGAAGGCGACUUUCUGGACAAUAACUGACGUUGAGGCACGAAAGUGUGGGGAGCAAACAGGAUUAGAUACCCCUGUAGUC